CGUCGAAGAGGGAGAAACUUCUGACGAAACCCUCGACUCCGUCGAAUUGAGCGCGUGCAGAAACUUCACAUCGCGCAGGCAUCGCGAAGAAACGCAGAAAAGAACGCUAGCGCCCAUCUGCAGUCGGCGACAGACAUGUUCCGGAUCUGUCGUCCCCAUGAUCGGGAUUGCUUCCCCGUUGUUUUCUCCUUAGCCGUGGCCUUUGUGCCGAUCGGAGUCAGUGGCCGAACGCGAGGGGUAAGCGCGAGGAAGAAAUCGACGGCAAAGUGUGCAGCAGGGUCGUCGACAGACAAGAGAGGAAACUCGCCGGAGCAGUGUGUCGACAUGCUGGUGUUAACGAAUCCACGGUGAUUCUCCCGUGGAUGUCCUCUGCCUCUGCAUUUAAACGUGACUCUCAGCCUUCCUUUAAACUGCUGUUGCGGAGUCGUGGAGCGCUCUCUUUCCUGACUUCUGCGCUGGAACAGGUAAAGUCCGUUCACAGGGUCCCCUCACCUCAGACGGCUGGUCUCCUGGUCUAGACGCAAUGCCGCGAGAUUCUUUUUCUCGGAGGAGACGGUGAAGAACGCGGGAGAAGGGGGUCUCUGUGUCUGCUUGAAGAAGAAAGGAAACACAGCCAGGCAGGUUCCCUCUGCAGAGAACUGAGAAACGUUCCGCGAGGGCUAUCGCCACUCUGGUAAGACGCAGGGACGUGAUACUUCCUCGAAAGUGAAGGGGAAGAAAUCGUGUUUUUUCUCGUGGUCAGAGAACGAGAAGGGAGUCGAGGUUUGCAGGCAAGCACUUCCAAACGUUUCGGAACGUCAGACAAGGCGGCAUUUGAGCAACUUCUGGUUGCAGUGCCGCACAGUCCACCUCAGUGGUCGUCCGUGAUCUCGCUCUUAGACAAGUGUGUACCGCUGCACCUAGUUCUCCCACAACCGCCGCGAGGACGUUCGGUGAAAACUGUUUAGUGAACAUGUCUUCUGCUUCUGCCGACAGUGUUCCGAGCGACGGCUUUCAGCGCGGAGGCAUGUUCGCAUGCUAUUCAGACACUCUCCGAGCACGCAGCGACUACGAAAGGAGAAUCCACCGCAGCUGUCUCCGCAGAGACUUGCGAAGACUGUGGCAAGGUGCUGUUCUCAGAAGAGUCCUGAGAUGGCGUCCGCAACGCAGCGGGCUUCGAGUGCACACGAGACUAUACGGACCCUUUCGGAAACGCCGAGUGGUGCGCGCUGCCGCAGCGAAAGAGAGAGGAUUUCCGAGGACUGAUUCGCGUCAAGUUAAACAGAAAAAAGUAAAGUGUGCAGGC
rnacentral:lncRNA from 1 species